rnacentral:sRNA from 1 species
UUAGCCCUAUCGCAACAGGGCACGUGCAGGAGGCCGGUCAUGUUUUUCGAUAAUGUGGUGUUUGCCGGAGUGCUGACUGUGAGCCUCAUGGUGAUGUUUUUUGUAGGGUUUGGAUUUUUUAUCUGGAAAGACGCGAACAAGCGUAAAAAAUCAUAGGUUUUUCCGGGUUACAUGAGCACGCAAGGCAUUUUGGGCGACUUCGGUCGCCCUUUUUUUUG